rnacentral:misc_RNA from 1 species
AAGAUGGUGGUCUUAUGGCUCC